GACGAACGCUGGCGGCGUGCUUAACACAUGCAAGUCGAACGGAAAGGCCCUGCUUGCAGGGUACUCGAGUGGCGAACGGGUGAGUAACACGUGGGUGAUCUGCCCUGCACUUCGGGAUAAGCUUGGGAAACUGGGUCUAAUACCGGAUAGGACCGCACUUUAGUGUGUGUGGUGGAAAGUUUUUUCGGUGUAGGAUGAGCUCGCGGCCUAUCAGCUUGUUGGUGGGGUAAUGGCCUACCAAGGCGGCGACGGGUAGCCGGCCUGAGAGGGUGGACGGCCACGUGGGGGAGGAGGUCGGCCCGGCCCCCCGCGGGGGGGGGGGAGGGGGGAAUGUUGACAAAGGGGUGCAGGCUGGAGGCGGCCCCCCCGGGGGGGGGAGGAAGGCCUUGGGUUUGUAACCCCCUUUCCCCGGGGAAGAAGCUUUUUGUGACGUUACCUAGUAAAGAAGCACCGGCUAACUACGUG
rnacentral:rRNA from 1 species